rfam:Pelodiscus sinensis unplaced genomic scaffold scaffold767, whole genome shotgun sequence.
CUACGUCAGGCAGAUAUCAUGAUCAUGAAGGUGGUUUUCCCAGGGUGAGGCUCAUCCAUUGCACUGCCAGUGUGCUGACCCCUGCGAUUUCCCCAAAUGCGGGAAACUCGACUGCAUAAAUUGUGGUAGUGGGGGACUGCAUUUGCAUGUUCCCUUG